UACAUGAAGCUGGAAUCGCUAGUAAUCGCGAAUCAGAAUGUCGCGGUGAAUACGUUCCCGGGUCUUGUACACACCGCCCGUCACACCAUGGGAGUCGGAUAUGCCCGAAGCCGGUGACCUAACCGCAAGGAAGGAGCCGUCGAAGGUGGAGCCGAUGACUGGGGUGAAGUCGUAACAAGGUACC
rnacentral:rRNA from 1 species